GAUGAACGCUGGCGGCGUGCCUAAUACAUGCAAGUCGAGCGAACAGACGAGGAGCUUGCUCCUCUGACGUUAGCGGCGGACGGGUGAGUAACACGUGGAUAACCUACCUAUAAGACUGGGAUAACUUCGGGAAACCGGAGCUAAUACCGGAUAAUAUAUUGAACCGCAUGGUUCAAUAGUGAAAGACGGUUUUGCUGUCACUUAUAGAUGGAUCCGCGCCGCAUUAGCUAGUUGGUAAGGUAACGGCUUACCAAGGCAACGAUGCGUAGCCGACCUGAGAGGGUGAUCGGCCACACUGGAACUGAGCCACGGUCCAGACUCCUACGGGAGGCAGCAGUAGGGAAUCUUCCGCAAUGGGCGAAAGCUUGACGGAGCAACGCCGCGUGAGUGAUGAAGGUCUUCGGAUCGUAAAACUCUGUUAUUAGGGAAGAACAAAUGUGUAAGUAACUGUGCACGUCUUGACGGUACCUAAUCAGAAAGCCACGGCUAACUACGUG
rnacentral:rRNA from 1 species